rnacentral:rRNA from 1 species
GACGAACGCUGGCGGCGUGCCUAAUACAUGCAAGUAGAACGCACAGUAUAUACCGUAGCUUGCUACACCAUAGACUGUGAGUUGCGAACGGGUGAGUAACGCGUAGGUAACCUGCCUGGUAGCGGGGGAUAACUAUUGGAAACGAUAGCUAAUACCGCAUAAUAUUGAUUAUUGCAUGAUAAUUGAUUGAAAGAUGCAACUGCAUCACUACCAGAUGGACCUGCGUUGUAUUAGCUAGUAGGUGAGGUAACGGCUCACCUAGGCGACGAUACAUAGCCGACCUGAGAGGGUGAUCGGCCACACUGGGACUGAGACACGGCCCAGACUCCUACGGGAGGCAGCAGUAGGGAAUCUUCGGCAAUGGACGAAAGUCUGACCGAGCAACGCCGCGUGAGUGAAGAAGGUUUUCGGAUCGUAAAGCUCUGUUGUAAGAGAAGAACGGGUGUGAGAGUGGAAAGUUCACACUGUGACGUAUCUACCA